ACACGACUCUCGGCAACGGAUAUCUCGGCUCUCGCAUCGAUGAAGAACGUAGCGAAAUGCGAUACCUGGUGUGAAUUGCAGAAUCCCGCGAACCAUCGAGUCUUUGAACGCAAGUUGCGCCCGAGGCCAUUCGGCCGAGGGCACGCCUGCCUGGGCGUCAC
rnacentral:rRNA from 1 species